AGAGUUUGAUCCUGGCUCAGGAUGAACGCUAGCGACAGGCUUAACACAUGCAAGUCGAGGGGCAGCGGUGGUGAAGGCUUGCCUUUACCAGCCGGCGACCGGCGCACGGGUGAGUAACACGUAUGCAACCUGCCUGCCACAGCCGGAUAAUCGGGAGAAAUUCCGUCUAAUACGGCAUAAUGCACCUAUGGGACAUCCUGUUGGUGCCAAAGGUUGAUUCCGGUGGCGGAUGGGCAUGCGUCGCAUUAGUUAGUUGGCGGUGUAACGGACCACCAAGACGACGAUGCGUAGGGGUUCUGAGAGGAAGGUCCCCCACACUGGUACUGAGACACGGACCAGACUCCUACGGGAGGCAGCAGUGAGGAAUAUUGGUCAAUGGGCGGGAGCCUGAACCAGCCAAGUCGCGUGAGGGAUGACGGCCCUAUGGGUUGUAAACCUCUUUUGCCGGGGAGCAAAGUGCCGCGCGUGUGCGGUUUGGAGAGUACCCGGAGAAAAAGCAUCGGCUAACUCCGUGCCAGCAGCCGCGGUAAUACGGAGGAUGCGAGCGUUAUCCGGAUUUAUUGGGUUUAAAGGGUGCGUAGGCGGACGCUUAAGUCAGCGGUAAAAUUGCGGGGCUCAACCUCGUCGAGCCGUUGAAACUGGGUGCCUUGAGUGGGCGAGAAGUACGCGGAAUGCGUGGUGUAGCGGUGAAAUGCAUAGAUAUCACGCAGAACUCCGAUUGCGAAGGCAGCAUACCGGCGCGCAACUGACGCUCAUGCACGAAAGCGUGGGUAUCGAACAGGAUUAGAUACCCUGGUAGUCCACGCAGUAAACGAUGAACACCAACUGUUCCGGCAAAAUGAUGGCUGAGUGGUACAGCGAAAAGCUUUAAAUGUUCCCCCUGGGGGAGUACACCGGCAACGGUGAAACUCAAAGGAAUUGACGGGGGCCCGCACAAGCGGAGGAACAUGUGGUUUAAUUCGAUGAUACGCGAGGAACCUUACCCGGGCUCAAACGCAGGAGGGAUGUUUUUGAAAGGAGGCAGCCAGCAAUGGUCUCCUGCGAGGUGCUGCAUGGUUGUCGUCAGCUCGUGCCGUGAGGUGUCGGCUUAAGUGCCAUAACGAGCGCAACCCCUACCUACAGUUGCCAUCGCGUGAUGGCGGGCACUCUGUGGGGACUGCCUGCGCAAGCUGAGAGGAAGGCGGGGAUGACGUCAAAUCAGCACGGCCCUUACGUCCGGGGCGACACACGUGUUACAAUGGCGGCCACAGCGGGGAGCCAGGCGGCGACGCCGAGCGGAACCCGAAAAGCCGUCUCAGUUCGGAUUGGAGUCUGCAACCCGACUCCAUGAAGCUGGAUUCGCUAGUAAUCGCGCAUCAGCCACGGCGCGGUGAAUACGUUCCCGGGCCUUGCACACA
rnacentral:rRNA from 1 species